UGUCCAUGGUAGGGACACAAAUUUAACAGAUCUUUAAAAUGCUCCUAAGCUUGAUAGAGAGUUUCAUUUUCUUUUUGAGCAAAAUUCGAGAUUUGCCAUUUCAAAUU
rfam:Morus notabilis contig19102, whole genome shotgun sequence.